AGCGAACGCUGGCGGCAGGCUUAACACAUGCAAGUCGAGCGGGCAUCCUUGUGGUGUCAGCGGCAGACGGGUGAGUAACGCGUGGGAACGUGCCCUUCGGUUCGGAAUAACCCAGGGAAACUUGAGCUAAUACCGGAUACGUGCGAGAGCAGAAAGGUUUAUCUGCCGAAGGAUCGGCCCGCGUCUGAUUAGCUAGUUGGUGAGGUUACGGCUCACCAAGGCGACGAUCAGUAGCUGGUCUGAGAGGAUGAUCAGCCACACUGGGACUGAGACACGGCCCAGACUCCUACGGGAGGCAGCAGUAGGGAAUAUUGGACAAUGGGGGCAACCCUGAGCCAGCCAUGCCGCAUGAGUGAUGACGGCCUUAGGGUUGUAAAGCUCUUUUCUCCGGGACGAUAAUGACGGUACCGGAGGAAUAAGCCCCGGCUAACUUCGUG
rnacentral:rRNA from 1 species